AUGAGGUCGUUCUACAAGAUGCUACUACUUUCGCUUGCCCUUGUUGCGCUGCUAUCCUCAGAUCUGAUGAUUCAGGCGACGGCUAAUGGUGGCGGCUCGCUAAUCCCUGAAGACUGCCGGCAGACCCCAGUCAUCCCUGGGCCGUGUAACCCCAAGGCUUGUCUCCGCAACUGUCAAAUCAACGUUGGCCCCGGUGCGGUUGGCGAUUGUGAUGCUGGCGGAUGCCGGUGCACAUACUGUACUGCAUCUCAGCGGAACUAA
rnacentral:rRNA from 1 species